UACGUAGGGACCGAGCGUUGUCCGGAAUCAUUGGGCGUAAAGAGCGUGUAGGCGGCCACUUAAGUCCUGCGUGAAAUCUUGCGGCUCAACCGCAAGCGGUCGUGGGAAACUGGGUGGCUAGAGUGCGGGAGAGGAGAGUGGAACUGCGAGUGUAGAGGUGAAAUUCGUAGAUAUUCGGAAGAACACCAGUGGCGAAGGCGGCUCACUGGACCGGCAUUGACGCUGAGGUGCGAAAGCGUGGGGAGCAAACAGG
rnacentral:rRNA from 1 species